GACGAACGCUGGCGGCGUGCUUAACACAUGCAAGUCGAACGGAAAGGCCCUGCUUUUGUGGGGUGCUCGAGUGGCGAACGGGUGAGUAACACGUGAGUAACCUGCCCUUGACUUUGGGAUAACUUCAGGAAACUGGGGCUAAUACCGGAUAGGAGCUCCUGCUGCAUGGUGGGGGUUGGAAAGUUUCGGCGGUUGGGGAUGGACUGGCGGCUUAUCAGCUUGUUGGUGGGGUAGUGGCUUACCAAGGCUUUGACGGGUAGCCGGCCUGAGAGGGUGACCGGCCACAUUGGAACUGAGAGACGGCCCAGACGCCUACGGGAGGCAGCAGUGGGGAAUAUUGCACAAUGGGCGGAAGCCUUAUGCAGCAACGCCGCGUGCUGGAUGACGGCCUUCGGGUUGUAAACCGCUUUCGCCUGUGACGAAGCGUGAGUGACGGUAAUGGGUAAAGAAGCACCGGCUAACUACGUG
rnacentral:rRNA from 1 species